rnacentral:SRP_RNA from 1 species
GCUGGGCGCAGUGGCAGGCACCUGUAGUCCCAGCUACUCGGGAGGCUGAGGCAGGAGAAUCGCUUGAACCCAGGAGGUGGAGCUUGCAGUGAGCCAAGAUUGCGCCACUGCACUCCAGCCUGGGCCUCCAUCUCAAAAAAAAAAAAAAAAAAAAAAAAAAAAAAAGAAGAGAAAAGUGUGAAAAGAUUAGGAGUNNNNNNNNNNUUUUUUUUUUUUUUUUUUUUUUUUUUUUUUUGAGAUGGAGGCCCAGGCUGGAGUGCAGUGGCGCAAUCUUGGCUCACUGCAAGCUCCGCCUCCUGGGUUCAAGCGAUUCUCCUGCCUCAG